ACAAUGUUGCGCGCGCUGUACUAUUUGCAACAGUGAUUUCAGCAUUGCCCAUGACGGUGUAAGCACCUGUGACAAUGUUAGACAGGAAAUUGCAUGUUUUUGUUAGUGUUCUGUACGGACUACAUUUCCCAGAAUGCCAGGGCAAGAGUUGCCGCGUUUUGGACACAUAACAGUGGCCAAUCCUGCUCAUCCAUGUUGAUGGGUUGCAAAUAGGAUGUACAUGGACCAAUACGAAAGACGUGUUAAGGAACUGCGCGGCUAAGAGAGAGCGGGAGAACACGUUGGAGAAUCGUCGGAGUAGGACGUGAAGAGGGACGGAGCAGGAUUUGAGAGGAGACGGAGCAGGUUUCGGUUUCGCCCUUCGGGAAAAGGAAAAAAAGUGUCGCCCGGAGUGUUUUGCUGUUUUGCCCCGGUGCCGGAGACCAGGAGGUAUACGGCUGUAAGGGAGUUGUGGAAUAAAAAGUGCACCAACAACUGGGCCCCAACGCACCACACUGUGCAACAGGUUUUUCUUAUGGUUAUACUUUAAUUGCAUUGCAGAGAAAUGUAAAUGUAGGUUUACCGUUUAAGGGUACGCUGCUCUGUUUUUUUUUCCUCUUUACUUUAGUGGUCAUAUUGGAGCUGUUGUUUUCUUCCUUGCUGAAUAGGGCUCAAUAAAUAGCCCGGUUAUGUUUAA